CAAUGCCUUGGCGCCUUUCUGUCGCAGAGAAAAGCUGUGCGAGAUUUAGAGAAUGCUCCUCCAACACCCUUCUCUCUUUCUCAGGUCUCAUCCCUCCAACCGGAUGAUGCAGCAGCGGCCGCAGAGAAGGUUAGGUGGUUAUAAACCGACCUAGGGAUAGGGGAGGAAAAAUUAAAGGUUAUUCUAUCCUGUUGUUAAGAGUAUUGCUUUCAACACUACAAAGAGCUGUGACAGAAUCAUGUGACAGAAGCUUUGGACCAUAUUUGUUACACUGACACCUUUAUGGUGUCAAGAGAACUACAGGAAGGCAUGUUGGAUAGACUCUCCACAGAACAUUUACAGGAGGACUUGGAAAGAGUUAUGGAAGAGAAAGAAAGAAAGAGGAAGAAGAAGAGGAGGAGGAAGAGGAGGAAGAAGAAAACUCCAAUUAUAUAUUUCAAUUGCAUAGACUAUUACAAAAUGAUUUUUCUGUGAUAAGUUCUUUCUCUGGAUGAGGAUCGCGUUCUUUCUCACAAGUCCUGGAUCAUUGCAUUGCUGCUAGUAGAGAAGUCCAUUACAUUCUAUUGUGCCACAG
rnacentral:lncRNA from 1 species